GAUGAACGCUAGCGGCAGGCCUAAUACAUGCAAGUCGAACGGGAUCUGAGGGUAGCUUGCUACCCGAUUUGAGAGUGGCGCACGGGUGCGUAGCGCGUGAGCAACCUACCCAUAUUAGGGGGAUAGCCCGGAGAAAUUCGGAUUAAUACCGCAUAAGAAUGUAUUAACACAUGUUAAAGCAUUUAAAUAUUUAUAGGAUAUGGAUGGGCUCGCGUGAUAUUAGCUAGUUGGUGGGGUAACGGCUCACCAAGGCGACGAUGUCUAGGGGCUCUGAGAGGCGAAUCCCCACCACUGGUACUGAGACACUGACCAGACUCCUACGGGAGGCAGCAUUAAGGAUUAUUGGUCAAUGGGCGAAAGCCUGAACCAGCCAUGCCGCGUGCAGGAUGACUGCCCUAUGGGUUGUAAACUGCUUUUGUCGAGGAAUAAACCUAUCUACGUGUAGCUAGUUGAACGUACUCGAAGAAUAAGGAUCGGCUAACUCCGUGCCAGCAGCCGCAGUAA
rnacentral:rRNA from 1 species